rnacentral:pre_miRNA from 1 species
UGAGGAUAAUGACGAUGAUGAUGGUGAUGACGAUGAUAAUGAUGAUGAUUAUUAUUAUCAUCAUCAUCAUCAUCAUCAUCACUAUUU